UUUGACUUCUUGUCCGUGCUUGUCAUUUAUAAGAUAGGGUCACAUUUCUUACUUUUAAUUUCUAAGAGGGAAGACUAUCUCUUAUUAUUGAGCCACCGAAAAAAUGUGUAUAUUGUUGGUAUAAGUAGUAACUUCAUUUCUUUUAAGUUUUUUUCUUAGUCAUCCUAAUUCUAGGAUGGUUCUCAUUCCGAUAUGGUCUUGAUUCAUUUAUGUAUCCUUAUUUUAUUCGAAUGUCAUGUGAUGGAGUAUCUGUAUCAUGCAUGCUUCUCCACUGAUGACAAAAUGACCUUCGAGACUCUUCUAGGCUUCCGCAUUCAUAUGCUUUUGCAUUGGGACUGAUAGCGGGAAGACCCAGAGAUCAUAAAUCAAGAAUGAGAUAGGAAUAGAGGCAUUUAGCCCAACAUACUCCGAUGAAUGGGUCGGUCACUUAAUCCAAAGACAACGAAAGGGAUCGACAAGUAGUAUUUUGAAUAUGGGUAGCGUGAGUUAGAAGAAUCUUUCAAGAAUUCCACGACUGCAAGAAUUCCACGACCGCAAGAAAAAGGCGAUUUUGUGCUAAA